UCCAGUGACCAGUAUAUUUGCCUUCUACCAGACUCCUGUACCCCACUGGUCUGGGUCUGUCACACCCCCCAUUCUAUUCUUAGGCCCUGCUUCUGCGUAGUCCCACUGACAUCAGUGGGGCUACUACUGGGUGUAACAUUAAGCACAUGCAUAAAUGUUUUCAGGAUUGUGAACCUAGUUUCCUACCAUUUAGGUUGUACCCACAUUUAACUUUUGUCAGUGUGAAAAAUGUCUCAGUUUACUAACAUUCCACAAUUUUGUGACCAGUCCAACAUCUCUUCUUUUUUUUUAACGAGGGGGAAAAAAUCCCCAUCCUUAAUUUUUUCCAUUAGGUUCUUGAGGACCUGGUGUCUUCAUUCUACUACAAUGUGUUGCUGCAACAUCUUGGAGAACAAUUAGUGAGGUAAGAAAAAAUUGUUUUUCGUGAUCUUGCUUCUGCUGAUACAAAUUAAUGUGUCUGACUCACAGUGAUCAAACCCAGGGAGGGCAGAAGUAACUUCAGAAAAGCCCAUGCAUUCCUGAGGAAAAGGAGGAUUUGUGUUUCCACAGCUAGGAAUCAGGAUAGUGAAGGAGAUCCUUUUCUCUGAGAUCUUCUUCCACCUUGGAUUGCCAGGGGCUCCUAGUACAGUAAGCUGAAUGGAAAGCCACUUAUCUUCUUUAGAAGGCUGAAGUAUCUGCCAGGAUUCGAACCUAUGAGUGAGACCAUUAACCCAUCCCCUCAGAUUCUAAAUAACAUUAUACAUAGCUUAUGGAUGUUUUAAAAACUUCAGCAUAAUCGUUAGAGAUGCCAAGAUUUAUGAUGCAAGAUUUAAGAAUAGGAGGCAUUUCAUUGGAUAAAGUUGCUGCAAUAAUAAAAUGUAGGCCUACAGAAAUAUCCUAGUAACAUCUUUAUAAUAAGCUACAUAUUGAAAUAUGUUACAAAAGCAGUAAUGGCUCUUAAUAUUUAGUAACCGUUCUCCCGAAAGGAAUAAGUUGGCAAAAAUUUUCUGCCCAAACUAAAACCAGCAAUAUCAGAAAUAUGUGCUUGAUUGUCAAAUUAUACUGGGGGCUGCAAAAUUAAAGAAUCAUAGCAGCCUAAAAAGUACAGGCUGUUACACAGAAUACAGUUCUCCAGCUGGAGUCUUCACUAAGUGAAAGAUCUUGACUACCAAUGCAGCAGAAUUCCCAGAAUGAAUUUACCUCUUUAUCUGCUGGAGAGUACCUUUACAUAGCUGGUUUGAAUAAGACCAGAUACCAAGAUAUAACCUUUGCUAUUCAAUGAUAGAAAUACCUUCUUAACAUAAUUUGGGUCAUUUUUCAAGGACAGAACUAUGUGGAGGUAGGGAAAGAUUGUAACUAAUCUCUAGACUAAUCUCUAGAUGGAGCCAUAGGGCAUCAAUCUACAAUGUGAGCUCUACAGAGAAGGAAAUGGCAUAUACCUUAGAUGGGCUUUCACUGAGGCUUUCAACUGAGGAAAGAGACGUUCACUGCAGUUUUAAGCUACAUGUAAAGAUCUAUCUGAUUUCUUAUCUGAUUUAUAGAUUUUAAUGCCAGAAGGGACUAUAGUAAUCAUCUGGUCUAACCCAACUCUGUAACAGACCAUAUGAUUUCAAAAUUGGACAUAAAAUCUCUUAGAAUUGGUGGAACUGAUUACUGCCAUUCACAUACGUCCUUUUUUGCUCCUAUGUUUCUUUGUCUCCAAUGUGUCUGCUUUGCCAGCGACUUAGCUUGCCUGUUGUCUUAGGAAAAAUAUGGUUUCUCACCUAUUUUAUGUUCCAAAUGCUCAGAAAUUAUCUAUGAAAACUGAAAAAUUGUCAUUGCUACCAAAAUUUAAGUUAUUCAAAUUUUUAAACAGAUCCAGAACUAAACUUAGAACAUUUGUUUCUUUUUUCAUUAAAGGAACAGCACAGUCUAAAAUAUGACUUAUGAGUAAAAUAACCCUAAACUAUUAUAAAAACUUUCAUUUUUUCAAAAACUUCAAACAUAUGUUUUCAUAGUCUAGAUCACAGCAUAACACAGAAAUUGUCUAAUGGAUCACUUUCCUUUACAUUCUUCUUCACAUGACUUGCCUGCCACAACUACAGCUAUUGCUUUUUGUAGAAAAGUAAUAUUAAGAAAGGGUUUCUAUGUUUUUAGCUUUCUUUAGAUGUGAUUUAGCACAUGGAUACAAAGAGCCAGAAUCAUGUGACCACAUGACUCUUUCCUGGUUUGGGAAAACCAAAGCAGCUACCUUCAGUGCAUCUGAAGCUGGGAGGUGAACAUUAGAACCAAGUUUCUAUAACUUUUAUAAUACAUUAGCCAUGGUAAUGGACCUUUAUGAUAUUUCAGUGAUGUGUUACUCAGGCAUCGAUGGUCAGCAUAUAUUAAUGUAUGUUCUCAGAGUGAAUGAAGCAGAUUCAGUUAGGUUUUGUAAGUAGAGGGAUAUGGGUAGAUUUGGCAUUCUAGCUCAUACAAAAAAUGGAUAGUCUCGUGGUUAAGGCACUAGACUAGACCUCGGGAAAUCUCGGUUUGUUCCUGGCUCUGCCACAGAUUUCCUGUGCGUCCGUGGGUCUCAGUUCCCAGUCUGUAACUUAGGUACACUUCCCUUGUUCACAGGGACGGUAUGAGGAAAGAUACAUGGGAGGUGCUGAGAUAUGAGUGAAAUGGAGGCUCUGUAUGGACACUGGGAUAGAUUGUGAAAUGGCGAGUGGAGCAGGAUGCUGCUCUGCAUCCUAUGAUGAGGGCAAAAUAUGACCUGUGGAGCAGAAGAAGAUGGUUGACUGUGGGGAGGAUCCGAUCUCCAACCUAUGAUUAAAAAAAAAGGCAAAUUGAAAAAAGAACUGGAAUUCCAUCAUGUAACUUAUUGACACCCACAUGGGGUCAGCAGCAGGAUUGGAACUGUUAUAUCCACCACACAGCUCCAGUGGCAGAGGUCUAACAGAGUAACUGAUAGCAAUAGAAGGUUGUCAUCCUGUAUGUGAACCAGCAGCAGUAAAGGGGGAUGAACACUUUGCCAGUGGGUUUCAGACAUAUUUGAUGACAGCAGAGGAAUGAAAGGACUCAUUAUGCAGAGGCUGCAACUCCAAUUGCUUUGAUGUACUUCAGCAGCUCUGAAGGAGUCAUUCCAGCCUACCACAACAAUGAUUUAAGAAGAAAUCUUACCACAAUAAGCAGGAGUGCAGUACUAGCAUCUCCGUUUUAUUACAGCUGGAGUUCAGUCACUGAAAAAAGAUUUGGACAAAAUAACUGAGAAAAUAUCAAGUUACAAGCCAGGAAGGGGAAACAUCACCACUUUUACAAUGCGAUGACUGAUGUCACUCAAACACUACAAAUCAUUUUUUUCUUUGAACUCUAAAACAGGUGGAGCUCCAGCAAAAGGAUCUGUGAAAUGGUGAUGACCUAAGGGGCGGGAAAAACCCACUGAUUCUACAAUACUAAAUCAGAGACCAGUAUUCUACUCGUGGAGCACAAGAUUAGCAAUCAGUAACUUCAGUUCUAAUCCCAGCUCUGACAGUCACAGCUUCUGUCGCAG